AGGUGCAGUCUCAUCUCAAGUUAGCUAACAUGAUUUAAAAUCCUAGUGAAGACAAGGCAGUUUGUAGUUUUCACAUGAACUGUCAGGUUGAGUUAACACAUCUGUUUUUUUUCCUAGUGAAGAAUCAGCAAUGGAAGGUAUUGCAGUCCUCUACUCAGUCUAGACGUGACAAAAGUGUGAAUAGCAGUAACCACAUCCACAUCUGAAAAAAAAGACUGCAAUAAGGAGCUGCUGGCCAAAUAACUGGGAUUUAUGGAAGAAGAGAGGGAGAAAACAAAAGAGCCCACUUUGCCUGAUCAGACUGUGCUUGUAGAUUUAACAUGAACACAUACCUUUGUGUUGUUAGUAGCAGUUUGUAUUAACUAGGGAAGUUAAAAUGUGUUGUGCCUUUUUUUUUUGGUAAACAUGUAACUACAAAAUAUCAGCAGUUACACAUUUACACGUGGGGAGGGGGAUGGAGACAGCUCCAUGGGAGCUGGUAUGUGUGGGGAGCCAACCCACCUCUCCUCUUCCCCCUGCCCUGGUGCCACUGUAUCAGAGGCAACAGCAGGGGCAAUGAGAUGGGAGCCGGUGCUUGCGGUGACCCAUGUACCAUUUAAACAUGUACAGUAUCACAUCCCUAGUGUUAAUUUCUGUUGCCAGUUCCAAAAACUCCUUAGAUGACUUGGUCACCCACUUUUCACCUUAACACAUCACGAUUUCAAGAAUGAGUUGUUGUACAUAUAUAGAAAAAUACCUUGCACUUACAGCAUUUUUCAUCCAAAAGUCAUAGAAUCAUUUAUAUAAAAUCUCAACACUCCAUAAAGUGAUUAUCUUCAUUUUACAGAUGAGAGGCCUAAUCUGGUACAAGCACCCAAAGUAGGAUUGUUCCAUUGAGAGGAAGAAGUAAAAUGGGAUCCAAGUCAAGGCCACCCCUUGCCUGAAUUCACAUGUGCACACUGACUCACUUUGUGGGGAAACCCCCACCUACCCUGGGAACAUCAGAACACCCCUGCCCUCCUUAGGGAAAAACUGCAUGGAAGAAUCAGCCAGUAGGGGCACUUGCAAAAGCAGAGACCUCCAGCAUUCAGAGAAUUUUCUAUAGUUUUGACUGGACUUUUUCUACUCUGUGCUGAGUGGCUUGUUUUCUCCACCCUGCCCCUUCCUCAAAAUCUCAUCCAAUUUUCAACCUGCAUCUGCCCAUCUCAUCUUCUGCCUCUUGUACUUAGUUUAUCCCUUCUUAACAUACCCAAAGCCCCCCAAAUCUUGGAACCAAUAUGCCUUUUGCUGCCAUCACAUGGUUGGUUGACUGCUUGUGUUCAUCCAUUACCCCCAUCCUGUGUCUCUCUAGAUUGAAAGCUCUUCAAAAGCAGGGACAGUGUUGCAGUGUAUGCACAGUACCUAGCACAAUGGUGCCAUAACAAACAUGACAAAUAAUAAUGACUGAAGUUAACUGGUAUUUUUCUGUUGACUUUAGUUGUAAAGAUUAGAAUUACAUAAAUAAAUGAGUUCCAGUUCACUUCAAAAUAGCAUUAACUAUUCCCUUCCUCUGCCGCCAAAGGAGUCAUAAUUGAUGGAGAAUUUCCAUUGACCCAUCUGAGUUCAGAAGUGACUGGAGGGAGAAAAUAUUAGUGUGUCUGUUAUACUGGGUUAUUAUAUACUGAGGAGUAACUGUUCACUGGUUACUCUCCUCUCCCCCUUUAUUAGCAUCAGUCUCUUUUUUAGAAACCAUCUCCUUAAAAGUAAAUACACACAUUGCUCCAGCUCAGACCACUCCCAAUAGUAAGACAUGUUUAGGACCAAGAGAGCUUUGUUAUUUCUGAGACAGUAAUCCAUUUCAAGGAGAACAAUGUCUGCUGUUACUAAUACAAUGACUUUAGUGAGGCUCUGGUUUCAGCACAAUUUCCUAAUGAGUUUGGGGUCUAUUUAAAUAGUAUGUUGUUUCAACUAGCUUGUUUUUUAGAUGAAGUAAUAAACAUUUUUGCCUCAGAGCUGUCCUGUUCUUGAUUUUAGAACCACACACACAAGAUGCAUGCAUGUGCAAUUUUGAUGUCUGCUUUAGUUCAAAUAUUAUCCAUGUUAAUGUGUGACAAAAUGUGGAGAACAAACCAUUUGUGUAUUAGAGCUUGCUGCCAAUAUAUUUAUUGGAAUUUGGUAACUAAACCUGUGAUCUAGCAAGAGAGUACAACUUACUGUCCCUUGCCCAGCUAGCUAUAUCAAAUACUUAAUAUCUAUGGGUAACUGGAACCUGGUAUGGAAUUUACUGGGUUCAUACAUCCUCUUUUCAGUCAAGAAGUUGUUGUAUUUUUAAGGGAAGGAAAAAGAUCCCAUAUCUCUUCAAGUAAAGGAAGAUGGAUAUAUUGUCAGGCUCAAUUAGAUCCAAUUGUGUUGGCUUUCUCUAAAGAGAACAAUGCAGCUUUUGUGAUUUAACUCCCAACAGAAAGGUUCAUAGUUUUACAAAAAUAAUCCUACAGCCAUCUAGGUGCUAGCCCUUUUCUCUGGUGUGCAGAGGAGAACCUAGUGAAACUCUGCCCUCCUAACAGGAAGUGGAUUUUUUCUAAAGGGGGGAGGUGUCUGCAGCCUGAAAGAAGGCAUUAUGAAUACUCUAGUUUCAGUCAAAAAUACACCAAAAUAUACAAGCUAGACGGUCAGAACUUAUUACAACUGGAGGCAGCCAUAAUCUCUUUGGUAGAGCUGUAUUGUAGAGAGCUCAUCUACCUGGUUGUAACUUGAGAUAAGAUGGCUAGGAGAGAAUAGUUUGGAUGAAACAAAGUAGCCUGCUACAGUACUAGAAGUACUUAAAAUGCAAAUGUACAGGAACUCUAGACCAUCCCCCACCACCCCUCCUCUGCACGGAGGAAAGCAGCUUAAAUACAGCCAGGCCUGGAGAGGAAUGUUAAAAAGAAGGGAAGAAUCGCCCUCCUCCUUUCCAUAGGGACCCUCACAUGGUGAGAUUCAGUAUGCAUGACUGAACAAGCAAGCAAGGACAGCUCCUCUUUUAACUUUCCUGAACAAUGGUUUCGCUCCUUCCAUCAUUUCACAUUCUCUCUACCCCCAAACCUUCUUUAAAAAAAGGGGGGGGGGGAGUUGUACUGCAGUACUUCGAGGGGAGAAAAGCUUUGUUUCAUGUCCUAUAAACAGCUUAAGCCCCCAUUUCAAACAACAAUAAAAAAACCCUCAGAUUCUUAAAUGUUAAAAGUCAUACAUUAAAAAGAAAAAUGUCUACGAUACAAAAGGGCAUCUUAUAUUUUUUUUAAAUUUUAAAAAUCCAACUUUCAUCUCAGUGUGGACAACAGAAAAGUGAAACAGCGUUGUCAAUUUUCUAGUUAUUGGCUUCCAAGUUCUCAUACACUAGCAAAAUCCUGCAAUUUUGAGUUACUAAUAUUUCAGGAAAAAAAUUAACUGUGUGGAAAGAAAAAAAAAAAAGCCCAACAGUUUUCAUAGUAUUUACAUGAAACAGAAACAUUGCCAUGUCUUUUGUUUUACAAACUGUUUUUUCCCUUAAUGUGUUAAGUUUUAUCUGCCACACAUCACUUUACCCCUAAGUACCUUCAUAACAAAUUUUAUCAAUGGUGGUUUGCCCAACCCCAAAACAAACUUGGUACCCCCGCAUCAAUCUCUACUUUCUCUUGAUUUAUUUGAGCAAGUGAACUGUUCUCAGAUACAAUACUAGUCCUUCCAAAAGGAAGCAAAGCUCUCUUGUAAACUUCUAAUUAUGACAUUACUCAACAUCCUGCACAGGACUGACUAGACUCCCCAUUUCCUUUUACUCAGACCAAGUCACUCACUAAAACAAGGGAACAGGCCAAACCCCCUAAGCUACACACUAUGCUUCUUGUAACAAGUAGAUAAAAUACCUACCUUUAAAGAAAACAAAGACAACACAGAUAAGCUUUUUUCAAAAACAUACUUCAUAUUUCCUCUUUUAUUAUAUAAAUAUCAGUUUAACCUUUUACUGUAAGAAUAUAAAAUGUUUUAAGAGGAUCUUUGUUAUUUUUUUAUACAAAUUCACAAACAGUACAAUUAAUCCAUAGGGGUCUCUGGGUUUACUUUAACUCCAUGGUCUGGCCUGUUAUGGAGGAGGAUUUGAGUUUUUGAAUUAAAAAAAAAAAAA